rnacentral:rRNA from 1 species
GGUGGCUUCGGCUGCCGGAGAGCGGCGAACGGGUGAGUAACACGUGGGUAAUCUGCCUGGGAGCGGGGGAUAACCUGGGGAAACUCGGGCUAAUACCGCAUACGUCGUUGGGGGUAAUCUCCAACAAGAAAGCUGGCCUCUGCUUGCAAGCUAGCGCUCCUAGAGGAGCCCGCGGCUGAUUAGCUAGUUGGUGAGGUAAUGGCUCACCAAGGCGACGAUCAGUAGCCGGCCUGAGAGGGUGAUCGGCCACACUGGGACUGAGACACGGCCCAGACUCCUACGGGAGGCAGCAGUGGGGAAUAUUGGACAAUGGGCGCAAGCCUGAUCCAGCAACGCCGCGUGGAGGAUGAAGGUCUUCGGAUCGUAAACUCCUGUCAGGUGGGACGAAGGCUGCGGGGUGAAUAAUCCUGCAGUUUGACGGUACCACCAGAGGAAGCCCCGGCUAACUCCGUGCCAGCAGCCGCGGUAAUACGGAGGGGGCGAGCGUUAUUCGGAAUUAUUGGGCGUAAAGGGCGCGUAGGCGGCUUGACAAGUCAAAGGUGAAAUCCCUCGGCUCAACUGAGGAACUGCCUUUGAAACUGUCUGGCUUGAGGCCGGGAGGGGGUAGCGGAAUUCCCAGUGUAGCGGUGAAAUGCGUAGAUAUUGGGAGGAACACCAGUGGCGAAGGCGGCUACCUGGACCGGUUCUGACGCUGAUGCGCGAAAGCGUGGGUAGCAAACAGGAUUAGAUACCCUGGUAGUCCACGCUGUAAACGAUGGGUGCUCGGUGUCGCGGGUAUCGA